GGUUUUUACUGGGUUCUUGAAGUUUUGAAAACUUCUAAUAAGUGUUCGAUUCACUUGAAAACUU
rnacentral:tRNA from 1 species